ACAUUUGAGAAAAUUAUUUCAAGUAAAUUAAAGUUCUGUAUUCUACAGAAGCUGUGUUUUUCUGCUUUUGCUUUUAGAUAACUUGGAUCCUCUUAAUGGAGUGGGGUGGUUAAGGCAUAGUUAGUUAUAAGUCUCACCUCAAGGCAAGUGAAAGACCAGAAUAAGAAGGUAGCAAAUCUGAAGCACAAGGAACAGGUGGAAAAAAAGAAGAGUGCACAAAUGUUAGAGGAGGCGCGACGACGGGAGGACAAUCUCAACGACAGCUCUCAGCAGCUACAGGACAGUCUCCGUAAGAAGGAUGACAGGAUUGAAGAGCUGG
rnacentral:sRNA from 1 species